UUUUUAACAUUUUAACUUCAAGAUAUUUAAAAUAGUAAUGACAUGGGAAACCCAUCAUUGCUAUAAAUCAACUAAAUGUUAAGAGCGAAGUUAGAUAAACGGCUUCUUUCUCAAUACCAUCACAUUCCAUCAAUUAAAAGGGAAAAAAAAGAAAAAUAAUCACGUAAAAAUUUUAUAUAUAAAUAAAACAGCAUGAACAAGAAAAUGAGAAGAAAACAAUAGAAAAGAAAUGCCUGGCUUUCCCAUGUACGCCGCUGAAAAUUUUUUUUCUAGCAAGCAAACCUUAUAUGUCGACGACGCCUUCGGAAGUGCCCCACACGCCGUGACGGAGAACUUUCAAGGCUGCCGGGAUAUACUUGAUAUAUACUUCAAUCCCUUGCGAGCAACCGAUAAUAUCAUACAAUAAUUUCUUCCUCUUCUUCAUUGCUAUCUGGGGCUUCUUCAGCUGAUAUCCUUUAUUCCUUCACAAAUCCUAUUAAUGUUCAAAAGGAGAGAAACAAAAAAGGUGAAAAAGAAAGAGAGUUUGAUAAGAACAUGGAAGAGGGUUGCUCCGAAGAAGAUGACGAGCAAUUCCCUUUAAUGUUGUUUUCAAAGGUGAAAUCGAAGGGUUUUUGUUUUUAUUUGUCUUUUGGGGUUCGAGGGCCUUUUUGUUUCACACGUUGGGGUGGUUACAUUUUGUCAAAUAUGCAUCAUUUUUAAUAACUUUAAAUAAUACUAUGUGGUGUAAAAAAAAAUCGUAUAUGCUUUACGUUUAUGAUAAUUUUUUUUAAAAAAUUACAUUUUAAAUUUUGAAUAUCUUUAAUAAUUUUUUAUUAUAAGAAUUUUGAUUUGAAAUUGGUUUUUUUAUAUGGGAUAUCAAAAUCAGUCAUAUUUUUUAUUAUACUAAAAAUUUUGCUAUACACAUAUGCGUGUGUAAACCACAUAUUUAGAAUGUAGAUGUGUGUUUAAAUUAAAAAAUUAAAAUAUCCUCAAAUAAUAUAACUUAUUUUAAAUAUGGAAUAACAUUUUUGUAAUUUUCUUAAUCGAGUUGGUGCCCUGUUGACUUGUAACACCAAUU
rnacentral:lncRNA from 1 species